CUGCCCGGUGCUGGAAGGUUAAGAGGAGAGGUUAGCGCAAGCGAAGCUUUGAAUUUAAGCCCCAGUAAACGGCGGCCGUAACAAUAACGGUCCUAAGGUAGCGAAAUUCCUUGUCAGGUAAGUUCUGACCCGCACGAAAGGUGUAACGAUUUGGGCGCUGUCUCGGCAGCAGACUCGGUGAAAUCUUAGUACCUGUGAAAAUGCAGGUUACCCGCAACUAGACGGAAAGACCCCAUGGAGCUUUACUCCAGCUUGAUACUGGGAUUCGGUAUUGCAUGUACAGGAUAGGUGGGAGACUGAGAACUAUGGACGCCAGUCUGUAGGGAGUCGCUGUUGGGAUACCACCCCUGUAGUACUGGGUUUCUAACCAGUUGCCAUGAACUGGCAAUGGGACAAUGUCAGGCGGGGAGUUUGACUGGGGCGGUCGCCUCCCAAAGAGUAACGGAGGCGCCCAAAGGUACGCUCAGAUUGGAUGGAAACCAAUCAUUGAGUGCAAUUGCAGAAGCGUGCUUGACUGUGAGACAAACAAGUCGAACAGGGACGAAAGUCGGGAAUAGUGAUCCGGCGGUGCCGAAUGGAAGGGCCGUCGCUCAACGGAUAAAAGCUACCCUGGGGAUAACAG
rnacentral:rRNA from 17 species